rnacentral:rRNA from 1 species
AUUGAACGCUGGCGGCAUGCCUUACACAUGCAAGUCGAACGGCAGCACGGGUGCUUGCACCUGGUGGCGAGUGGCGAACGGGUGAGUAAUACAUCGGAACAUGUCCUGUAGUGGGGGAUAGCCCGGCGAAAGCCGGAUUAAUACCGCAUACGAUCUACGGAUGAAAGCGGGGGACCUUCGGGCCUCGCGCUAUAGGGUUGGCCGAUGGCUGAUUAGCUAGUUGGUGGGGUAAAGGCCUACCAAGGCGACGAUCAGUAGCUGGUCUGAGAGGACGACCAGCCACACUGGGACUGAGACACGACCCAGACUCCUACGGGAGGCAGCAGUGGGGAAUUUUGGACAAUGGGCGAAAGCCUGAUCCAGCAAUGCCGCGUGUGUGAAGAAGGCCUUCGGGUUGUAAAGCACUUUUGUCCGGAAAGAAAUCCUUGGCUCUAAUACAGUCGGGGGAUGACGGUACCGGAAGAAUAAGCACCGGCUAACUACGUG